rnacentral:lncRNA from 1 species
UGUCACUAAGCAGAACGUUACAUUAAAUGUCAGUAAGUCAGGUUGGCAGAGAACAUGGUUAAAAUGUUCUGUACCCUGAUGAUUUUUUUUUCUGUGACUGCUCCAUUCAUGAUUGGGCGUGGUGGAAGAGUCAACCUCGGACCAUACCGGAGGACUUGCUUAGAUCUCCUCUCGUCUGCUCACACCCCACAUAGCUUAAAGCCUUUCCACUUGAUGGUAAGCAACCAAUCAACAUGUAUGGUCGUGG